rnacentral:other from 1 species
AUGUCCCUGUGAUGCACGCGAAUCAUCUAUAUAAUCCUUUACCGUAUUUAACGCUUAAGGUGUGUUGCGAUGAUACCGGUGUGCAUGCUCAACAUUAUGAGAAGCCUAAAGGUAUUAGGCGUGGCACCAUUCCUAUAUCUGAGGGUCUAGGAUUGCCGAUGAAAACGGCAUUGUCGGGGGUAUC